AUGGAUAGGACAGUAGACAGAAAAGGGAGUAAAAACAAAAUUACAGUAGAGAUACCAAGCUUCCUUUUCGGUUGCGGUAGAAAAGAGUCCUCACGGUUCUUGAUCUGUUUCCGCUUCACUCCGCAACAACAACCACUCAACCAUCGACUUCCUUCUGCGCCGCACGAAACCACCAGUGUCGCUUUCGCCGUUCAACCAACAUCCACCGCGAGCCUCUUCGAUCUUCAGCCACAUGAGCUUCUUCUUUCUCUUUUAAUUCUUUCAUCUCAUGUUCAUGGAUAA